ACGCUCGACACCUACGGGACGCAGCAGUGGGGAAUAUUGCACAAUGGGGGAAACCCUGAUGCAGCGAUGCCGCGUGAAGGAAGAAGUAUCUCGGUACGUAAACUUCUAUCAGCAGGGAAGAAAAUGACGGUACCUGACUAAGAAGCCCCGGCUAACUACGUGCCAGCACGCCGGUAGGUAAUCUGAGGCCGGGCUGGACAAGGC
rnacentral:rRNA from 1 species